UAGGGAAUCUUCGGCAAUGGACGAAAGUCUGACCGAGCAACGCCGCGUGAGUGAAGAAGGUUUUCGGAUCGUAAAACUCUGUUGUUAGAGAAGAACAAGGACGUUAGUAACUGAACGUCCCCUGACGGUAUCUAACCAGAAAGCCACGGCUAACUACGUGCCAGCCGCCGCGGUAAUACGUAGGUGGCAAGCGUUGUCCGGGUUUAUUGGGCGUAAAGCGAGCGCAGGCGGUUUCUUAAGUCUGAUGUGAAAGCCCCCGGCUCAACCGGGGAGGGUCAUUGGAAACUGGGGGACUUGAGUGCAGAAGAGGAGAGUGGAAUUCCAUGUGUAGCGGUGAAAUGCGUAGAUAUAUGGAGGAACACCAGUGGCGAAGGCGGCUCUCUGGUCUGUAACUGACGCUGAGGCUCGAAAGCGUGGGGAGCAAACAGG
rnacentral:rRNA from 1 species